CCGUUGCCGGCGACCGGCGCACGGGUGAGUAACACGUAUGCAACCUGCCCGUGGCAGGGGGAUAAGCGGGGGAAACCCCGUCUAAUACCGCGUAACGCGGCCUUGGGGCAUCCCAAGGCCGCCAAAGGGAGCAAUCCCGGCCACGGAUGGGCAUGCGGCGCAUUAGCUAGUCGGCGGGGUAACGGCCCACCGAGGCGACGAUGCGUAGGGGUUCUGAGAGGAAGGCCCCCCACCACUGGUACUGAGACACGGACCAGACUCCUACGGAAGGCAGCAG
rnacentral:rRNA from 1 species